rnacentral:rRNA from 1 species
UGGAGCAUGUGGUUUAAUUCGAAGCAACGCGAAGAACCUUACCAGGUCUUGACAUCCCGAUGCUAUUUCUAGAGAUAGAAAGUUACUUCGGUACAUCGGUGACAGGUGGUGCAUGGUUGUCGUCAGCUCGUGUCGUGAGAUGUUGGGUUAAGUCCCGCAACGAGCGCAACCCCUAUUGUUAGUUGCCAUCAUUCAGUUGGGCACUCUAGCGAGACUGCCGGUAAUAAACCGGAGGAAGGUGGGGAUGACGUCAAAUCAUCAUGCCCCUUAUGACCUGGGCUACACACGUGCUACAAUGGUUGGUACAACGAGUUGCGAGUCGGUGACGGCGAGCUAAUCUCUUAAAGCCAAUCUCAGUUCGGAUUGUAGGCUGCAACUCGCCUACAUGAAGUCGGAAUCGCUAGUAAUCGCGGAUCAGCACGCCGCGGUGAAUACGUUCCCGGGCCUU